GAUGUACACUAAGCGACCCUCAGCUGUGUGGGACCAGCCCUGCCAACUUCCAUCGUGGGCUCAGCUGCAGCUGCCACCUGCACACGGUGCGGGAAAGCAGCGAUGGCAACCUUUCACCGUGCCCACGCCACCAGCAGCGUGAAACCCAGGGCCAGACGUCACCAGGAGCCUAAUUCAGGCGAUUGGCCCGGCAGCUACAGGGCGGGAACUUGCUGCUCAGCCAUCGGAUUUAGGCUGCUGCACAGUCCCCAGCACUGGCGACCUCGUUCUCUGGGCGCAGGGCAAGGAAGAGAGGACCCCAGUUGGGAGGGUGGUGCACUCGGAGACCUGAAGGCCCUCUGGGACCAGCCUUGCCAGCCUCCGCCUUGGGUUCAGCUGCAGCUGUCAUCUGCAUAUGUCGCGCGGCCGCAGGGGUGGCAACCCUCAACGCUGCCCGAGCCACCAGCAGCGCGGACCCCUGGCCAGAUGCCCCAGCAGCGCCUAAUUCGGGCGGCCGGCCCUUCAGCUGCAGGAGGGGGGAACCAGUGGCUCAGCCCCAUGUAGGCGGCUGCACAGUGCCCAACACUCAAGAGCUCGCGCUCAAAAGAGGGCAAGGGAGGAGCAGCUGCAGGGGGCAGCGUCGUUAGGCGGGCCCUGAGACAGCUGGGACCGCGCGCUCCGCUCUAGGGAGCUCGGCCAGUCCACAGGCGUCUCAGCAGCAGCUGCCACCUGCAUGCGGUGCCGGCGAGUGCUCGGCUCAGGGCGGUUUCUGGCCACACGCAGUUUCUGGCCACGCGCAAGGCGGUUGCCUUUUGAGGUCCCAUGGGCGCUGGGGCCCAACUGCUCUGCUCCGUAUAUUAUUUAUUCUCCGAGAGGUUGGAGACGUCCCUGUCCGAGAAGUUGGAGGGUCCCUGUCUGAGGUCUGGGCCAGACUGCCUUGCUUUCUGGUGCUGGGCCGGAUGGGGGCGGGGUGGGGGCUGGCUGGGGGAAGGGCGAGGGCGAGUUGUGGCGUCUCUGAAGCCAAUAGCUGGGCCAUGAAGAUGAUCUUGGCUGUGGAGAGCCAGAAGGGCCAGGUGCGCCUGAGCUCCUGGAGUAACUGCAUAUUCUCUAACCCCUUGUACCAGACCCCAGAUGAGGAUGUCGGGAUGAUACACAAAGCUGCGUCCAGGGGAACACGUGGGAGCUGCAGCGGAGGCUCCCGCUGAAGAGAAAAGACCAGUCUGAAAUCUACAAGAACAGAGAAUUAUUCCAAAUCAAUAUGAAAAUACCUCUAAAACUGGGCAAAGUACCUUUUCCAGCUCUGCAAGUCACCUAUGCACAUAGGAAAAAAUACUUAAUGUGUCUGAUAAGAGAAGGAAUUUAAUUUAAAAAAGGAAUGAAAUGCCGUUUUCUAUCCUAAGUUUGUGAGGAUGAGGAGCAGUGAUAUUUACACUUCUGCUUAAAGUUAAGUUGCUGAUGACUUUUCAAAAAGACAAUUUGGUGGAUGGCUCCACAUUUGGCCUGUGCCAAUGGCUGCCCAGAAGUGGUAACUUUUCUGGUGCACAGAAAAUGCCAGCUUAACAUCCGUGACAGUGAAAACAAGACACCUCUAACGAAGGCUAUAACAUGCCAAGAAGAUGUGAAACUAUUCUGCUAGACCUUGGUGCUGAUCCAAAUAUUACCGAUGUCUAUGGCAACACUGCUCUCCAUAUGCUGUCUAUAAUGAGAAUAUGUCAAUGGUAGCAAAACUGUUUUCACACAAGACAAACAUCGAAGUGAAAAACAAUGUAGAGCAACCAAUGUUAUUUUCAAAAUAUUUGAAAUCCACUUGUUUUAACACUGACAUAUGUAAGGGUCAGUUUUUCCUAUUUGGAAGCUUAAGCAAUCCCUGAAUAAAAAUAAUUUGAAAUAA
rnacentral:lncRNA from 1 species